AAACCAUGAGGAACAUCGGGAGCAGUUUGAGGCAGAAGUCUGGAGCUUCACAUUGGAACAAAUCACAUCUUUCUGCAUCUGAUGUAUGAUUGGGUCCAGGGAACACAACCAGACUUUUCUGGCUUGGAUUCACAGACAAAGUAACUCACCUGAUGGACCUUUUAACAGUUUUUUUCAGUUCUUUGUGUUAUGUUUGGACCUCUACCUUCGUCUUUAGGUAAGUUAAUUAGUUUAGUUAUUCUGCUCAGAACAAAGUGGACGGUUAGACAUGCUGAGUCAGCAUCACUGAGAUUCAACUGAGGACAGAACCAUCUGAAGCCCUGCUGAGCCGAUCCACUGAUCUCCUGACGGUCGCGGUGGCUUUCUUAACUCUGCGUUCCAAAGUCUCCUCUGAUCUGGUCACUGAGGGCGAAUCAUGCAGAGAGRCUGCUUUGUUGGAAAUGAAGCCCACAGGCUGGUUCUUCAGGAGCCCCUCUGCUCCAGAAGCUGACCUCAAACCUUCAGUGGACCUGAUUCACCUCCCAGAAAAACAAACUUUCUCAUUUGAGGUUUGAUAAAAAACGUCUGCUUCUGCAAUGUUUUGAUCAUUUCCCCUCUGAACUCACUAAAUUUUCAAUCCAAAUUCAGGAAAACUUAAUCUUGUUCCUGAAGUUAC